UACAUGGGGUGCAAACGUUGCUCGGAAUUAUUGGGCGUAAAGCGCACGUAGGUGGUCUGUUAUGUCAGAUGUGAAAGCCCUCGGCUUAACUGAGGAAGUGCACCUGAAACUGGCAGGCUUGAGUACGAAAGAGGGUCGCGGAAUUCCCGGUGUAGAGGUGAAAUUCGUAGAUAUCGGGAGGAACACCGGUGGCGAAGGCGGCGACCUGGUUCGAUACUGACACUGAGGUGCGAAAGCGUGGGAGCAAC
rnacentral:rRNA from 1 species